AUUGAACGCUGGCGGCAGGCCUAACACAUGCAAGUCGAGCGAGCGGCGGACGGGUGAGUAAUGUAUGGGGACUGCCCGAUCGAGGGGGAUAACUCCUGGAAACGGUAGCUAAUACCGCAUACUAUCGAGUAACCCAUAUGGGAUUAGCUCGUAGGUGGGGUAAUGGCUCACCUAGCCGACGAUCCCAAGCUGGUCUGAGAGGAUGAUCAGCUAAACUGGGACUGAGACACGGCCCAGCCGCCUACGGAGGCAGCAGUGGGGAAUAUUGCACAAUGGGCGCAAGCCUGAUGCAGCGAUGCCGCGUGUAUGAAGAAGGCCCUAGGGUUGUAAAGUACUUUCAGUCGGGAGGCGUUACCGACAGAAGAAGCACCGGCUAACUCCGUGCCAGCCGCCGCGGUAAUAC
rnacentral:rRNA from 1 species